UGUCGUCAGCUCGUGUUGUGAAAUGUUGGGUUAAGUCCCGCAACGAGCGCAACCCUUAUCCUUUGUUGCCAGCGGUUAGGCCGGGAACUCAAAGGAGACUGCCAGUGAUAAACUGGAGGAAGGUGGGGAUGACGUCAAGUCAUCAUGGCCCUUACGACCAGGGCUACACACGUGCUACAAUGGCAUAUACAAAGAGAAGCGACCUCGCGAGAGCAAGCGGACCUCAUAAAGUAUGUCGUAGUCCGGAUUGGAGUCUGCAACUCGACUCCAUGAAGUCGGAAUCGCUAGUAAUCGUGGAUCAGAAUGCCACGGUGAAUACGUUCCCGGGCCUUGUACACACCGCCCGUCACACCAUGGGAGUGGGUUGCAAAAGAAGUAGGUAGCUUAACCUUCGGGAGGGCGCUUACCACUUUGUGAUUCAUGACUGGGGUGAAGUCGUAACAAGGUAACCGUAGGGGAACCUGCGGUUGGAUCAC
rnacentral:rRNA from 1 species